CCUACGGAGUGCAGCAGUGGGGAAUAUUGGACAAUGGGCGAAAGCCUGAUCCAGCCAUGCCGCGUGUGUGAAGAAGGCCUUCGGGUUGUAAAGCACUUUCAGUGGGGAAGAAAGCCUUGGGGCUAAUACCCUCGAGGAAGGACAUCACCCACAGAAGAAGCACCGGCUAACUCCGUGCCAGCAGCCGCGGUAAUACGGAGGGUGCGAGCGUUAAUCGGAAUUACUGGGCGUAAAGCGCGCGUAGGCGGUCUGAUAAGCCGGUUGUGAAAGCCCCGGGCUCAACCUGGGAACGGCAUCCGGAACUGUCAGGCUAGAGUGCAGGAGAGGAAGGUAGAAUUCCCGGUGUAGCGGUGAAAUGCGUAGAGAUCGGGAGGAAUACCAGUGGCGAAGGCGGCCUUCUGGACUGACACUGACGCUGAGGUGCGAAAGCGUGGGUAGCAAACAGGAUUAGAUACCCUGGUAGC
rnacentral:rRNA from 1 species